rnacentral:rRNA from 1 species
GAUGAACGCUGGCGGCGUGCCUAACACAUGCAAGUCGAACGAAGCGAUCAAGAUGAAGUUUUCGGAUGAAUUCAAGAUUGACUGAGUGGCGGACGGGUGAGUAACGCGUGGGUAACCUGCCUCAUACAGGGGGAUAACAGUUAGAAAUGACUGCUAAUACCGCAUAAGCGCACGUCAUCGCAUGAUGGUGUGUGAAAAACUCCGGUGGUAUGAGAUGGACCCGCGUCUGAUUAGGUAGUUGGUGGGGUAACGGCCCACCAAGCCGACGAUCAGUAGCCGACCUGAGAGGGUGACCGGCCACAUUGGGACUGAGACACGGCCCAA